rnacentral:rRNA from 1 species
CCUACGGGAGGCAGCAGUGGGGAAUAUUGGACAAUGGGGGGAACCCUGAUCCAGCGACGCCGCGUGAGUGAAGAAGUAUUUCGGUAUGUAAAGCUCUAUCAGCAGGGAAGAAAGAAAUGACGGUACCUGACUAAGAAGCCCCGGCUAACUACGUGCCAGCAGCCGCGGUAAUACGAAGGGGGCGAGCGUUAUCCGGAUUCACUGGGUGUAAAGGGGGCGUAGACGGCCAUGCAAGCCAGGGGUGAAAGCCCGGGGCCCAACCCCGGGACUGCCCUUGGAACUGCAUGGCUGGAGUGCGGGAGGGGCAGGCGGAAUUCGUGGUGUAGCGGUGAAAUGCGUAGAUAUCAGGAGGAACACCGGCGGCGAAGGCGGCCUGCUGGACCGCGACUGACGUUGAGGCUCGAAAGCGUGGGGAGCGAACAGGAUUAGAUACCCCUGUAGUC